rnacentral:rRNA from 1 species
UAGGGAAUCUUCCACAAUGGACGCAAGUCUGAUGGAGCAACGCCGCGUGAGUGAAGAAGGUUUUCGGAUCGUAAAGCUCUGUUGUUGGUGAAGAAGGAUAGAGCCAGUAACUGGUCUUUAUUUGACGGUAAUCAACCAGAAAGUCACGGCUAACUACGUGCCAGCAGCCGCGGUAAUACGUAGGUGGCAAGCGUUGUCCGGAUUUAUUGGGCGUAAAGCGAGCGCAGGCGGAAUGAUAAGUCUGAUGUGAAAGCCCACGGCUCAACUGUGGAACUGCAUCGGAAACUGUCAUUCUUGAGUGCAGAAGAGGAGAGUGGAAUUCCAUGUGUAGCGGUGGAAUGCGUAGAUAUAUGGAAGAACACCAGUGGCGAAGGCGGCUCUCUGGUCUGCAACUGACGCUGAGGCUCGAAAGCAUGGGUAGCGAACAGG